GCCAAUGUAAGGACUGACAGAGGGGUGAGGUGUGAGAGAACCGACUAGAGAGAAAAAUCAGUCUGACGGCAGCAUUCAUUGCAGACUGUAGCGGGGCAAUACGGCUUUUGGGAAGAACAAUCAGGAGAGGGUUACAAUAAUCCAUGCAGGAAAUUACUAGAGCAUGGUCAAGCUCCUUGGUAGCAUCUUGCGUAAGAAAGGGGCGGAUGUGGG